rnacentral:rRNA from 1 species
GGGUGCAGUCAUACAAUCGUUAAUGAACUAUACCCAAUUGGAAUUCUAUAGUUAAGUGUGCUUGGGAUAGAGUAGUACUAGGAUGGGUGAUAUCCAGGGAAGUCCAAGUGUUGCACCCU